rnacentral:rRNA from 1 species
GCCUCAGUAACGGCGAGUGAAGCGGCAAUAGCUCAAAUUUGAAAUCUGCUCUUUGAGCCGAAUUGUAAUUUGUAGAGGAUGCUUCGGCUUACGUUUCGGUCUAAGUUCCUUGGAACAGGACGUCAUAGAGGGUGAGAAUCCCGUCUGUGGCCGAGACUUCCGCCAUGUGAAGCUCCUUCGACGAGUCGAGUUGUUUGGGAAUGCAGCUCUAAAUGGGAGGUAUAUUUCUUCUAAAGCUAAAUACCGGCCAGAGACCGAUAGCGCACAAGUAGAGUGAUCGAAAGAUGAAAAGCACUUUGGAAAGAGAGUUAAAAAGUACGUGAAAUUGUUGAAAGGGAAGCGUUUGCGACCAGACUUGCCCGCGGAUGCUCAACCGGUCCUUCGGCCGGUGCACUCUUCCGCGGUCAGGCCAGCAUCAGUUCGAGUAGCCAGAUAAAGGCAUUGGGAAUGUGGCUCUCUUCGGGGAGUGUUAUAGCCCUUUGUGUAAUAUGGUUCAUUUGGACUGAGGCCCGCGCUUCGGCUAGGAUGCUGGCGUAAUGGUCGUAAGCGGCCCGUCUUGAAACACGGACCAAGGAGUCUAACAUCUAUGCGAGUGUUUGGGUGUCAAACCCGUGCGCGAAAUGAAAGUGAACGGAGGUGGGAACCUUUGGGUGCACCAUCGACCGAUCCUGAUGUCUUCGGAUGGAUUUGAGUAAGAGCAUAGCUGUUGGGACCCGAAAGAUGGUGAACUAUGCCUGAAUAGGGUGAAGCCAGAGGAAACUCUGGUGG